rnacentral:rRNA from 1 species
GACGAACGCUGGCGGCGUGCUUAACACAUGCAAGUCGAACGGAAAGGCCCUGCUUUUGUGGGGUGCUCGAGUGGCGAACGGGUGAGUAACACGUGAGUAACCUGCCCUUGACUUUGGGAUAACUUCAGGAAACUGGGGCUAAUACCGGAUAGGAGCUCCUGCUGCAUGGUGGGGGUUGGAAAGUUUCGGCGGUUGGGGAUGGACUCGCGGCUUAUCAGCUUGUUGGUGGGGUAGUGGCUUACCAAGGUUUUGACGGGUAGCCGGCCUGAGAGGGUGACCGGCCACAUUGGGACGGGGAUACGGCCCAGACUCCUACGGGAGGCAGCAGUGGGGAAUAUUGCACAAUGGGCGGAAGCCUGAUGCAGCAACGCCGCGUGCGGGAUGACGGCCUUCGGGUUGUAAACCGCUUUCGCCUGUGACGAAGCGUGAGUGACGGUAAUGGGUAAAGAAGCACCGGCUAACUACGUG